UACAUGGCUACAGAUAGUUUUAGAUGUCC
rnacentral:piRNA from 1 species